rnacentral:rRNA from 1 species
UACGUAGGGGGCAAGCGUUAUCCGGAAUUACUUGGGCGUAAAGAGCUCGUAGGCGGUCUGUCGCGUCUGGUGUGAAAUCCCGAGGCUCAACCUCGGGCUUGCAUCGGGUACGGGCGGACUAGAGUGCUGUAGGGGAGACUGGAAUUCCUGGUGUAGCGGUGGAAUGCGCAGAUAUCAGGAGGAACACCGAUGGCGAAGGCAGGUCUCUGGGCAGUUACUGACGCUGAGGAGCGAAAGCAUGGGGAGCGAACAGG